UGUCUGCCCUCUCACCCUAUCACCCCCUCCUCCAGGUCACAGCUGGGCCGCUCCUACAGGCGUGUUGAGCGUUACCUGUCAGACAAAGCGGGUUCAGGAGCUGUGGGCCUUCCUUCCUCCCUCGGACCCCCUAAUGUCACCCCCACCCUGGCCUCCUCAGCUAAAACAGCAGAAUGUAGGGAGGGGAAAAUGAACUGAAAGCCGGAGUGGCUGACCUCUGCUUCCACAAGCAGCUCACAGAGAGUUGAGUCAGAGGACAGCUAGUUAAUUCCUCUCCUCCUCAGCGGCCUCAGCUGUGAGCUUGCACACAAUUCUGUCUUGAUAAGAUAUACUCUACUGACACUCUACUGGAAGGAGUUGACAAGGUAACACAUACAGAGUCCAAUUAAACUAAACAAGAGGUGAAUUUUCUACGUCUUAGAUUUUUACCACAGUUUUGGCGCUGCGUGCAGGGUCGCUUGUACAAGAGUUUCUGGGGUUGAUUUUUCUGAAGCUUCACUGUUUUAUUUCAGAUAUUCAGUAGAUGAAGCGACAAGAUGCAGCUGCUUUUAAAAAGUGUCAUAAAUCUCAUUAGACACCCCCAAAAAUUACUAUAAACAGUUUUAUUCAGUAUAUACAUUCAGUCGUUUUCAUGCACAGCUUAAUUGGAUAAAGCUCAUAAUUCGCCGAAUCGCACUUCUCUCCCUGACUGUGUGUACAUGCAGCUGAGAAAAUCGAAUUAUUUACGUGAAUGUGUCCCCCUCCCCAAAACUAGGGGUCCUUUUAGCGGCGCUGUUUUUGGUUGACCCAACAACACCAGACAUCAGAAGUGUCUACAACUGCCGCUGAGCGUUUUCGAGCAAGAAGAUGGAGAAUCGUACAGCGUUGUUUUUGUCUUACAUGAUGUACGCGCUACUUUUUCUACAGAUGUGGUGCACGCUACUCCUCUUCUCUGGUGUUUUUGAUCUGGGGUUACAGGGGCGUGGCGCACACGCACAUGCAUUGUCCGAUCAUACUCCAACUCCGCUGGUUACAUGGUAGAGAAAAUCGAAUUCCAAUCGCAUUAUCUGGGUGUCUUAGUCGGAGUUCUCAAACUCCGAUUGGAGUCGGACUAAGGUGUUCACAUGCACUUCAGUUGUCCGGUCUUAAUCAGAAUGAGGCAAUAAUUCGGUUUUCUCGAGUGUUAAGUAAACAUACUGAUUGAUAGUUGCAGCUAAUUAAUGCAGUACCUCAACAUAUCUGAGAAUAGAAAACUUCAAGUGUGUCGGUUGAUUUCUUCCUGUUUUCUUGUAAUUUAAGGCCUGAGAUGACUUCCACACCUGUUUUUGUGCACACACUGAUUCCUGUCGAUUCUCUUGUCUGUGCAUGUGUCAGAGCGGCCCAUUAUGUUUCAGCUUACAUAAACCAGAUCGUGUUAAAAAUUACAUAACCUCGACCGUUGGUUGAUGCAGGCGGCGAGCUGUGGGAGCAGAGAUCCAUCGGCUCACACCAGCUCUGCCAGCAACAAAUGACGGGGUUUAAAAUGAAACACCCCGCUUAAUAGAGGGAGUGUUUCUAAUUAGCUUGGCGAGCUGGUAAGAAGGAAUAUUCAACCCAAGGCCAGGGAGUAAUGGAGAAGAAAGUGGGCUCUAUACCUGCGACCUUAUUUCCUUCUAACCUUUGUAACCUUCAGAAAGGCUCCAUAUUGUCCACUUAUCCCAUCCUCAGCUCUCCCUGAGCCGCUCUGCACAGCAGCCCGGGGAGAAGCAUGUAAAUCUGGCCCCCUUUGAGCAAGCAACAGGCUCUGGAGAAAAUAAAUCUGCAGAGGUUCAUGGUGAGUUCAGCCAAGCCGCAGCUCGAGGCUUUCUCCCUCUUAUCCCCCCUCUCUUUCUCUUUCAAACACUGCUUCUGUCUCGGUCAAUGCAUCCCUCUUUCCAUCUUCUUCUCAUUCCCAUCAUCACUCUUCUGCUCCUUUUCCCCCUCAACAGUCGCCACAUAUUUGGUAAUGUCACAGGCGGACAACACCACAGUGAUGUCAUUGUUCUGAUAAGGACCACAGGGAGGAAGAGGGACAGUCCCCUCACAUGUGUUAUGUCUGCGCCGGUUUGAUCGAGUGUCUCCUUUAAUCCAGUUUGGUCUAGUUCAGAUCCAGUUUGAUGUUCCUCUAUAGGCCCUGGUUUGCAGAACUUCUGAGGGGAUUUAGGAUGUUCUUUACAGCCGGAGCCACAUGACUGGAGUGAGCAUGUUUUUGGAUGAAUUCAAUGAAAGGGACAGGAGGGUUAAGUUUGCAUUAUGUGGGUUUGGAGGACUGCUUUGACAUUUGAGAAAAUGGGAUGUGAUCUUAUAGCGGAGCAGCUGGACUCGAGUAUCAGGAGAGGAAAUCAGCAGAAGCAUCUCAGGGAGCUCUUCCUGGUUGUUCUGCUCCAUUGUUAAGUAAUCUCCUGAAACUUUCUCUGCAGUACAAUAAAAAUAUGCAACAUUUGUUUUCAUUUUACUUAUUUUAAGAGGUUGAAUGAGAAGAUACUUCUAUUAUACUGGCCUAUUAAACAUAAAGCUACAUCCAGUUAGCUCAGUACAGGAACUAUAGCAGUAAAUUGUCAAUGUAGAGCCUCUUCAAUAACUUAACUCUGGAGAAAAUUUGGUGUAAUAGGUUCAAAAACAUAAUAUUGAGGUGCAGACUCAUUCUGAGCAGUCCUCUAGUAUAACUCAUGUUACCUUAGCCAACAUUUAAAGUUACCAUCGACCAGAGAUGAGCCACUCUUACACCCAAUCUUCACCGCAACCAGAACAACUCCGAUCUGGAAUGGUGGCGAUUUUCACUUUACGCCAAUUCCUACCAGAUCCAUUUGCGAGGCGAAUGCCGUAGCAGAUUACGGACAGUAGGAAUCACGGGAACUUACAAAACCCUGC
rnacentral:lncRNA from 1 species